GAGACUUGGUUCUAAAGAAAGUAGAAAUCUUAAAACCUUUGGAUCAAGAAAAGCUAUCUCCGAAUUGGAAAGGACCUUAUAGAAUAGCCGAAACACUCAGACUAGGCGCAUAUCGGCUAGAGACACUUGAAGGGUCAGCUAUUCUUCGAAUAUGGAAUGCUGACAAUUUAAAAAUAUAUCAUCAAUAAAAUUAUCCAUGUAUAC
rnacentral:lncRNA from 1 species